UAGGGAAUCUUCGGCAAUGGACGAAAGUCUGACCGAGCAACGCCGCGUGAGUGAAGAAGGUUUUCGGAUCGUAAAACUCUGUUGUUAGAGAAGAACAAGGACGUUAGUAACUGAACGUCCCCUGACGGUAUCUAACCAGAAAGCUACGGCUAACUACGUGCCAGCAGCCGCGGUAAUACGUAGGUGGCAAGCGUUGUCCGGAUUUAUUGGGCGUAAAGCGAGCGCAGGCGGUUUCUUAAGUCUGAUGUGAAAGCCCCCGGCUCAACCGGGGAGGGUCAUUGGAAACUAGGAGACUUGAGUGCAGAAGAGGAGAGUGGAAUUCCAUGUGUAGCGGUGAAAUGCGUAGAUAUAUGGAGGAACACCAGUGGCGAAGGCGGCUCUCUAGUCUGUAACUGACGCUGAGGCUCGAAAGCGUGGGGAGCAAACAGG
rnacentral:rRNA from 1 species